AUGCAUCUUCUCUUAAAAAUUUUGAUUUGCUCGUUGAAUGAUUACAAAUGGACUAGAGAGCAUCCAACAGGAUCAUUAUGUCAGACCUUAGUCCAUCCCAAAUUAUUCUUGGUGGAAGCCCUGAAGAGUCAAUGGUGGCGAGGUUUGGGAACCUCCGGGGUUAAGGGUCACCUGGAGGAUUGGAUACAUGGCAGAUUACUGCUUUUUGCAGUUACAGGUUCUCUCCUGGCUAGAGGAGGAAUGCGAGAUGGUCUGUGGAAUGACAGGGUAAACUCCUGGUCCGGGGUUCGUCUCCAGAAUCAAACCGUCUGGGAGCACUGCCCGGGAAUCUGCACUGAGACAAGAACCUUGGUGAUCCUUCUAAGAUUCCGUGUCUUCCUUGAGUGUCGGCGACCGUGUGGCCCAAAGCAAUGCAAGUCCGGAGAAUGUGAGCACGGGCAGCGCUUCCGUGGACACCAGCCAGUGCCGGCGAGCGGACCGCGGUGACGUGAGAGGCAGCAGGUGCCCGCAGGCCCAGGUAGCAAGCCUCCCGCUCCACGUGCGGUCAGGAACCAGCCUGUGGGCGUGGCUGCUCCGCCUCGCCCCGCCCACCGCUCAGCUCCCGGCAGCCUCAGCGGCGGCGCGGCCCCGCCCACCCCCGCGCUCCCGGCAGCCUCUGCGGCCGCGGGCUCCCAGACGCCUCCAGAGCUUCCCGCGUGCGGGAGGGCGGCGCUGCCCUUGGGGGCUCCUCAUGUGCGCGGCGGCCGCACCGCGAGGCGGGGAGCCGAGUCCUCCGAAGCUCCCGGACGCGGGGGGCGCGAUGGGCGCGGAAGUAGAGGACUCCGUGUGGCCGCGCCUGGAGACUCCCGUCCUGCGCCGCCCUGAGGCGGCGGCUGGCUGCAGCGUCACGUGGCGCGCCCCGGCUUUCCAGACGCACAUGUGAGAGACGAGGCUGCGGGCCCCCCACAGAACGGGGCUCUUAGGGGCGCCGGCCCCACCCGCGAGCCGCCCCGCGCCCCGGGCCUGACGGCCUGUGGUGGGGCGUCGCCUCAGGGCAGCCUUCUGCUUUCACACCGGCGUGGCGGCGGCUGGAGCGCUCCGGACCGAGAGCCUGCGUCCUGGCCGGAAGGGGCUGUGGCUCUGCGCGGGUUGGGUUGCGCCGCAGCGAUGCUCUGGGGAGGGCGCGUGACCUGCGCGGAGCCCCGGAGGGCAGCCCCGACGCCGCUCUGCGCUCCUGCCUUGGCCUCCUGUCCCCUCCGUGACUCCAGGCGCGUCUCUGGCCCGCCGUCUCCAGCCGUCUCCGCCACUGACUGGGGCAUUGGCGGGCCUUCACGGCCUUCCUUCCCUCGUGUGCGCCUUUGGGUGCUCCCGCUUGGGCUGGCGAUCAUCCUGGUGCGCCGUGAGCCACUUUCGAAGCCCCAGGCUUGGUCUUUUUUUUCUUUUCUAAGAUUUUAUUUAUUCCUCACAGACACACAGAGAGAGGCAGAGACACAGGCAGACGGAGAAGCAGGCUCCCAAGGAGGAACCUGAUGCGGGACUCGAUCCUGGGAUCCUGGAGUCAUAGCCGGAGCUGAAGGCAGACGCUCAACCUCAGAGCCACCCAGCCGUCCCUCAAGACUGGCUCUUGACCUUACUCUUCCCCUCAAGCUUCCCGCACGACCAGAGGUUUCUGGCAAUUCUCUCAUUGUUUUCUGGGAAACCGUGAGGUGGCCAGCUUCCAAGAUGGCACCCAAUGGUUCUUCCCUUUUGAUAGUCACAUUCUGUGUAGUUGUCCCCACUUUGAUGAGGACGGACCAGUCUGGUAUUAGGACUAACAGAGCAUCAGGGAAAUGAGGGGGCCUUGUUACUUUGGAGGAUAGGUCACAGAAGGCCAUGGCUCUCUCUUGGGCCACUCGCUCUGGGGAAGACAGUUGUCCUGUGAUAUGAACACAUCUGACUCGUGAGGAAGUCUUUGAGAAGAACUGACACUUCUUGACAACACCCAUCACUGAAUUGCCAGCUCUGUCCACACCCCACCUUGGAAUUGGAUUUUCCUACCCGGCCUCAAGCCUUCAGAUGACUACAGCCCUCCUACGCAUCUUGAUGCCAGCCUCACAGAAAACCCUGAGCCACAACUACCCAGGUAGGCUAUUCCAAAAUCCCUAGUCCAUAGGGAAUGUGCUACAUAAUGGUCAUUCUUGCUUCAUACUAAGUUUUCAUGCAAUUUGUGAGUG
rnacentral:lncRNA from 1 species